AUGAACGCUGGCGGCGUGCCUAAUACAUGCACGUCGCGCGAACAGACGAGGAGCUUGCUCCUCUGACGUUAGCGGCGGACGGGUGAGUAACACGUGGAUAACCUACCUAUAAGACUGGGAUAACUUCGGGAAACCGGAGCUAAUACCGGAUAAUAUAUUGAACCGCAUGGUUCAAUAGUGAAAGACGGUUUUGCUGUCACUUAUAGAUGGAUCCGCGCCGCAUUAGCUAGUUGGUAAGGUAACGGCUUACCAAGGCAACGAUGCGUAGCCGACCUGAGAGGGUGAUCGGCCACACUGGAACUGAGACACGGUCCAGACUCCUACGGGAGGCAGCAGUAGGGAAUCUUCCGCAAUGGGCGAAAGCCUGACGGAGCAACGCCGCGUGAGUGAUGAAGGUCUUCGGAUCGUAAAACUCUGUUAUUAGGGAAGAACAAAUGUGUAAGUAACUAUGCACGUCUUGACGGUACCUAAUCAGAAAGCCACGGCUAACUACG
rnacentral:rRNA from 1 species